AACGUAGGAGACAAACGUUAUCCGGAGUUACUGGGCGUAAAGGGCGUGUAGGUGGUUGAGUAAGUCUGGCGUGAAAUUUUUCGGCUUAACCGGGAAAGGUCGUCGGAUACUGCUUGACUGGAGGACGGUAGAGGAGUGUGGAAUUCCGGGUGUAGUGGUGAAAUGCGUAGAGAUCCGGAGGAACACCGGUGGCGAAGGCGGCUCGCUGGGCCGUACCUGACGCUGAUGCGCGACAGCAUGGGGAGCAAACAGG
rnacentral:rRNA from 1 species